ACCUCCUAUUUUCCUAAUCUUUGUCCAACUCACAUCUGGGGCGAAUGCGACACGACAAAAACAUUUCACCAGAUGGUGCAUCACGCCCUCUUAUUAAUACAAGUGGUGACGCUUUGGACAAAGAAAAAGCUCCCCGUUCAUAUUGAAAAAUGUAGGGGAAAGAAGCAGCAACAGCCCAUGAAGAAAUCAUAAAGAGAACCAGGGGUGCAGGCAUCUUAUUACGGCAUCUCUUUGUCUCUUCGUUGGAGCCUUGGAAAAGCUUCUUCUUCCCCCACCUCUACUGCUUCUUCUAUCUAUCCAUCCACUGCCACCAUAUAUAUUAUCCUCUUGAGCGACCGAUGGAAAAGCAGGCAUCUGUUUUGUCAGGCUUCUUGCCAAGUAGUGCUCCAUCCAACUAAAGGUUUGGAGAACAUCAAAACAAUAGAGAAUAGAACUGAAAUGGGCCAUAAGAAGAGCAAUCAUCACAAAGGAAGAGGUGAAGCAGCUGAUGAGAAGGACUACCUGUUCCUGGCUCGCUGCCCUUGCUACGUGCUCGGCUCUGUCAUUAGAGGGAUUGGGAGGUGCCUCUUUGUGGCUUGCUACCCCGUGAUACAAUGUUGCAGACUUGACGAGUGCAGGCACCACCACACCAGCCACCUCAGCCACUUCAGAUGAUACAUCCACACAUCCAUGAAGUACCUCUAUUACUUGAUCAUCAGUCUUUCCCCUUUCUUUUUCACCACAAGUAGGGUCAGCAAUCAAUCAUGCCAACUUCUAAAGAAGAAUUGUUCAUAUCUUAUACGAGUAUGUGGUGUUCUUCAUCUUUUUCCAGUAGUCUUCAGUAGAGAAGAAAGACCUGCCUGCAUUACCUCAGCAGAUGAUAGAAGAGUAAAGGUGAAGAAAAUUGCAUGCUAAACGGCUAUUGGUCUCUUGAAAGUUAUUCAUAAAGUGGUUGGUGCCAGUGUUUUCUGAUUGUUUUUCUCAAGUGGCUCAGAGAAAAAUAAUUUCUUCCAAUUGAGCCUUUAGGCGUCCCCUUAUUUUUUCCCCAUUUCUGAUUUUUUUUUUUCAAGUUUCUCUCUUGAUGCUCUUGAUGGAUUUGCAUAGGUGCCUAGAUUGUGGUGACAUUAUUAUAAACUCGCAAAUAGAUUAGCUAUAAUCGUUUUUUAGCUCAUAAACAUAUGUCCUAGUCAACAAAAGAAGCGUUCAUGUCUUGUGCAGUUGGCCGGUUCAUAGUUAAGUAGGUGAGGGCGUCACGCAACAGAAGAGAUGAAUCAUUACUUUGAUAUGAGCUUCCUUAAAUAAUCUAGUUGCUUACAGGUAUGCAUUUGUGUUAAGCUGUUAUUGGACUGCUAAUUGGGCAUUAAUGACCUGCAUAGCCUAAUCAAAAUCAUGAGAAUAUUGAUUCAUUCAUAGAUGAUCAGUACAGCAGAGGCAUGCUCAUCAAGUCAUCAGUAUAACGAAAUGGAAAUGAGUGAAGUCAAUUUCUGCCUUUAAUUCUUCAGAGCCUUGCGGAUGGUUGUUAUAAAUUGACAUAUCCUUAUACUUCAUCCUCUACAACAGAAAAUUUGAAACAUUUCUUUCCAAAAAUAGAGAAAAUCGAGCAGCUAUUAUGUUUGGAUCAACCAAGGAAGCCACUCAUUGGUUGUCAUUUGCCUGAUGUCUACCUUGAUGUGUAUAUCUGCGCCUAUUAUUUGGGCAAGCUUUCAGUGACCUUCUUGCAAGGAAUGUAUACCGACGUUGGUAGCCGGUAGGUCAACGACGGUCAUGGCAGCCUCCGCAGCAACAGUAAUGGUAUAUAGUAAAGCUUGGGAAGCAAUAGGAGCACCAAUUCAAUGGCAGCACUGGCGGAGCCCAGGCCAAACUAGGCUCCGGCCCCCUUAGCUCAGUAAUUUUUUUGUGAAGCGGAGCCCAAACUUGCUAUGCAUCGAUCCAGCUUACCGCGUAUUGACCCAACUUGCUAUGUUUCAAGCGUAAACUUGCAGAGCAGAGCUCAGCUGCAAGUUGCUACGCAUCCACUAGACUGCAUCACGGCUCUGCGUUGCUACUGUAGCAGUUGGCCCCCUUCCAUUUGGCCCCA